rnacentral:hammerhead_ribozyme from 1 species
GCACCGCUGAGGAGUCCCACAAUAGGACGAAACAGCUGUGCGGUAC